UUCCGGUUGAUCCCGCCGGACCCCACUGCUAUCGGGAUAGGACUAAGACAUGCUAGUCGUGUGCCUCAGCCAAAACGAGGCACGGCGCACAGCUCAGUAACACGUGGCUAACCUGCCCUUAGGACGAGAAUAACCCCGGGAAACUGGGGCUAAUGCUCGAUAGGUGAAGAACUCUGGAAUGAGUCUUCGCUUAAAAGAGUCUGCGUUAUGCUCGUAGAUUUCGCUUAAGGAUGGGGCCGCGACCGAUCAGGUUGUUGGUGAGGUAAUGGCUCACCAAGCCUUUUACCGGUGCGGGCCGUGAGAGCGGGAGCCCGGAGAUGGGCACUGAGACAAGGGCCCAGGCCCUACGGGGCGCAGCAGUCGCGAAAACUUUGCAAUACACGAAAGUGUGACAGGGCUAUCCCGAGUGCCAUCCGCUGAGGAAGGCUUUUACCCAGUCUAGAACGCUGGGGGAAUAAGGAGAGGGCAAGUCUGGUGUCAGCCGCCGCGGUAAUACCAGCUCUCCGAGUGGUGUGGAUGUUUAUUGGGCCUAAAGCAUCCGUAGCUGGCUAAGUUAGUCCCCUGUUAAAUCCAACGAAUUAAUCGUUGGAUCGCGGGGGAUACUGCUUGGCUAGGGGACGAGAGAGGCAGACGGUAUUUCCGGGGUAGGGGUGAAAUCCUAUAAUCCCGGGAAGACCACCAGUGGCGAAGGCUGUCUGCUAGAACGCGCCCGACGGUGAGGGAUGAAAGCUGGGGGAGCGAACCGGAUUAGAUACCCGGGUAGUCCCAGCUGUAAACGAUGCAGGCUAGGUGUUUGGACGGCCACGUGCCGUUCUAGUGCCGCAGGGAAGCUGUUAAGCCUGCCGCCUGGGGAGUACGAUCGCAAGAUUGAAACUUAAAGGAAUUGGCGGGGGAGCACCACAAGGGGUGAAGCUUGCGGUUUAAUUGGAUUCAACGCCGGA
rnacentral:rRNA from 1 species